UACGAAGGGGGCUAGCGUUGCUCGGAAUCACUGGGCGUAAAGCGCACGUAGGCGGACUCUUAAGUCAGGGGUGAAAUCCUGGAGCUCAACUCCAGAACUGCCUUUGAUACUGGGAGUCUUGAGUUCGGGAGAGGUGAGUGGAACUGCGAGUGUAGAGGUGAAAAUUCGUAGAUAUUCGCAAGAACACCAGUGGCGAAGGCGGACUCACUGGCCCGAUACUGACGCUGAGGUGCGAAAGCGUGGGGA
rnacentral:rRNA from 1 species